UCGGCAAAAUAAUAAAAAGGUAAAACACUCAUCUUGUUUAUAAAAAAAUUUCUGCCAUGAUGAUCGGGAUGAGAGCACGAUAUAAAAUGGAACAACAAUGUGAAAUGAUGACUUUAAUAUCAUUGAAUGUUAGUUCAGAUGGCACUAUCUCUUGCUACUUAGACAAGAGGAUGUGGUUCUAACUUUGGUUGAAGUCAUCCUUAAGGAAGGGAUAAGGUGAAAAUAAGAGUUGAAAGGCAGGACAAGUUUCCCAUAAU
rnacentral:lncRNA from 1 species